UCCUGUGUCUGUGCUAGUUCGUCUUAUCUGUUUCAGUGAGCUUUCCAGCCGUAAGUUCCUUGUGUUUUUCGGACCAAUCUUCAGUUACCUUUACUCAGAUCUUGCCCAGUGUGUCUGGAUUCCUUGGCCUGUUUUUGGACUGCUUCCUGUGUACCGAAGCCUGCCAUCUAGGGACUUCAGGAACUUCUACCUUCAGUGAGGUGUGUGAGGACUUUCUGCUGUUUGAGUCUGAUGUAACGGUUGAGCCUCAUUCAGCUCAAAACGGUUUGAAUUUGAGGAGCGCAGUGGGACCAGAGAGGCUCAGUGGACUGGUUAUGCUUUGAGAAUAAACAAGGAGAAAAGUUGGACCUGGAGCAGAUUGCGGAAGACAUCAUGGUGCUAAAGACUUGCUGGGUGCCGUCGUUCAGACUGACGCUUUGACCUCCACAAACACACUCUAACCCUUCCUACAUUGAUCUCUGCCUUCCUCUGUCUCAAUGCCGAAACCUCAGAUACACAUGUUAUGCGUCUGCAGUCCUCACGACCUCGAGAGACAGCGGGGGAGGUCAGAGGUGAGGCAGCUACCUCUGCUCUUCACAACCUGACACUCCAGAAACAUGACAGCUGAGACCAGCGUGUGUGUUUGUGUGUUUUUGCACGUCUGUAUGUGUGGGUUCACAUGUGCCAUAUAACACCCUGAAUAA